rnacentral:lncRNA from 1 species
CCGCCCAUGACCUCAUGCUCUAAGCUCCCGUAUCGCCUUCCCCCGCCCUGUCCACACCCCGAAGCCGAGUGGGGGCGGGGUGGAGUAGGGGACAGCGGCGAUCUGGAGCGCCGGAGCAGUUUACUCAUCCUGCGCGAGAUUUGGGGCCCCACCGGCCCCCUGUCGCACCCCCCCAAGCGGAGACUGGGCUUCCUGUCUUUUUGCCAUGCACUUGUUGCAGAAGCAGCCAAGGCCCCGGCUCCGGAGGAUGCAGAAGGAGGAAGGCACCAGAGUAGCCCGGCCCUGAACGCACCACCCUCACCUCCUGCAACAGGUAUCGAACUCGGGACCUUGCACUUGGGAGACAGGCACCGGAACCACUGAGCUAAAUCCCUGGCCCUCUCAGGCCUCUUUUAUAAGGACAUUAACCCUGCCUCUUCAUUACCACCUGAAGGCCCCAUCCUGGUAGCAUGGCCUUCCGGGUUAGAAUUUCAGUGUGUACAUUUCAGACCAGGGAUGCUCUUGUUUCCCAUUUAUCAGUUUGGAUUCUUUGAGGCAUGAAAGCAGAACAGCAAACCCAAAGGCUCUCAGAGAACACAGGGGGUUAGUGAGCUCAUGUAGCCAUGGGGUGCAGGGAUAAGGUGGGCUGCAGGGAGAAGAUGAUCCAGCAGCUGAACAGUACCCUAAAUCAUCCAGUUUCUUUCCAUCUCUCCUCCACUUCCACUUUCC